rnacentral:rRNA from 1 species
CCUACGGGAGGCAGCAGUGGGGAAUUUUGGACAAUGGGCGAAAGCCUGAUCCAGCAAUGCCGCGUGAGUGAAGAAGGCCUUCGGGUUGUAAAGCUCUUUUGUCAGGGAAGAAACGGUGAGGGCUAAUAUCCCUUGCUAAUGACGGUACCUGAAGAAUAAGCACCGGCUAACUACGUGCCAGCAGCCGCGGUAAUACGUAGGGUGCAAGCGUUAAUCGGAAUUACUGGGCGUAAAGCGUGCGCAGGCGGUUUUGUAAGUCUGUCGUGAAAUCCCCGGGCUCAACCUGGGAAUUGCGAUGGAGACUGCAAGGCUAGAAUCUGGCAGAGGGGGGUAGAAUUCCACGUGUAGCAGUGAAAUGCGUAGAGAUGUGGAGGAACACCGAUGGCGAAGGCAGCCCCCUGGGUCAAGAUUGACGCUCAUGCACGAAAGCGUGGGGAGCAAACAGGAUUUAGAUACCCUGGUAGUCCACGCCCUAAACGAUGUACUACUAGUUGUACGGGUUUUAAUUAACUUGGUAACGCANCUACGCGUGAGUAGACGCCGNGGGAGGUACGGUCGCGAGAAUUAAACUAACGAAGAAGUAGACGGCGNGAGACGUAGCCGACGACGACGACGAGGGAGGUUAGG